AGGGUUUCUCUGUGUAGCUUUGCGCCUUUCCUGGAACUCACUUGGUAGUCCAGGCUGGCCUCGAACUCACAGAGAUCCGCCUGCCUCUGCCUCCCGAGUGCUGGGAUUAAAGGCGUGCGCCACCACCGCCCGGCUAAUAGUCCUGUUUUAAUGGCUUGAGAUUCUCACAACAAAGUUCUUCAGUAAGUGCACCUUUAAGUUUAGCCUCAUCAGUAAGAAAACUGGAACAAAAUGGUAAAUUCUAAGGAAAUGCACUGCUUUUCCACCCUUUAUAGAGUCUGGGGAUAAAUGCAUUAUUUUAUCAUCAAAUACUUCUUCAAUACUGAGUUUAUAGCAGACUGUUUUUUGAAAUUUUUCCUUAUAAGUGUCUACUUCAGUACAUUGAUUCUUGAAUGUCAUGUCCAUUUUCUUCUAACACACACACACACACACACACACACACACACACACACACACACACGCACACACACACACACACACAGAGAGAGAGAGAGAGAGAGAGAGAGAGAGAGAGAGAGAAACACACUCAUUUCUAAAUCUCUGUAUGUGAAGUCAGCCUUUCUUUUAAAACGGAAUUUGCAAAAUGGUAGAGUGCUUUAAAGUUGUGCUGUUUCCUUUUUCUGACAAAAUUCCUAAAUAAAGCUUGUUAAACAUUGGAUGCUUGAUAUACAGCAUUUAGAAACUACACAAAAUGCGGUGGUAGAUAGGGUACUCUGCCUUCUCCCCCUACCAUGAGUUAAUGACAAUUGUCUCUGUGGUCUUGCUGAGGAGUUUGCCCGCAGGAAAACGAUCUGUAAAGGUGUAUGGACUCCAGCAGCCAGCUGCACACUCUUGAGUAGCUGACAGGCACAGAAACCAGAAGAGAGAGAGGACCCACAGGUACGAGGACCCAGAUCUGCGGACCUGGUGUUGGUCCUGGACCCUUUCCGUGAUAGAGACCUCCUAACGUCACCUGGGUAAGGGCGGGGCUUCUGAUCUGCCCUGACUGCUGCUCCACUCCAUUCGCAGCAGGUAAGCCAUUAUGCAUCUAAUCAGAGCAGUAUUUUCAGCUUACUCUCCAAGCAACAUCUCUGCAAAAGCAGCUCAAGCUGGUAAGAGAGACUUCUGCUCUGGACCCUAAAGAGUCUGGAGUCCUUCCCAGCGAAUUGUCUCUCAGCCUGCGGAGCACGCCAGCUCAAUUACAAGAGAAGGAGGUUGGUCCUUGCCACCGCCCUCCCCUCCUGUCUUCAGUAAGAGCGGGGAAGAGGAGAUCUUCUUCAGAGAGCACGGGAGUGACCAAGUGCAGCUGGCUACCAGGGCAGCGACCAGGGCGCGGGUCCUUUCUCCCUCCCGCUGCUAUGGCCGCCCUGUGCGCGCUGAGCCCAGCGCUGGACCAUCCUGGACUUGCCUUCUGAAGCGUCUAUCAGUGUGUUUGUCAGGGGACGGGGAGUGGGGAGGUGGGGAGGUGGGGGUCGGAUCUCUGGAGAGGGCUCCCGGCUUCCUAUGGAGAGAGGUCAGUGAGCAGCGACUGACCAGACCAGAGGAGGCAAAAGAGCAGGUGCGAGAGAAGUACCCCCAGAGGGCGGCCACAUGAAAUUCAAAGAUGCACACUACCUGCUGUGCUUGCUGCCUGCACGUUCUCAGCACUAGGAGGAAGCUUCUCUCAUGAUGGUUGAACAAGGCACUGAUCAUAAUGUCUUUUUGGAUCUGGGAUAUUUCACUCAAGAUGAUUUUUUCUAGUUCCAGAUAUUUCCUGACAUACAGGCUUAUCUUUCCUCAUAUCCUUACCAAAUGUGUUACCUCUUCUCUUAUCAUAGUAGCCAACUGGUCAGCUAUGAUAUAAAACAGAACUGGAUUAUUAAGCUUGGCUCUUCACUCUGGAAAUGGUUUCUUUUGCUGUGCAGAAGACUUUUAAUCUCAGGUGACAGCUGUGAACUGCUGUUGUAGAAAAACAGAUUCCAUCUUCCUACAAAUACAUCUGAGCAGUUUCUCUGGCUUCUGAUGCUGUAGCUCAGGAAGCCAUCACAGAAGGACUUUAAGGUCUUCCAGUACCUGCUGAACAAUGUAGGACCAGCAUGAGGACACUGGGGAAGAAAAAAUGUCAUUAAUGCUGCUUGGGAUCAUCCUGAAGUUGGAAUUAGCCUUGUGGAGUUUUUAAUUGUGGGAGUUGUUAUCUCUAUUUCAACAAUGCUUAAAAUAAUGUGGUUUAUCAUUUGUGUUUAUAUAAGUAGUUUCACAUUAUAUAGACUAACUUGUCCCAGGAAAAGAAAUAGAAAACAACUAGUGACCCCUUCUCUUAAAACAAUCUUUCUCUUCUUUUUGUACAAGUACAUUUUUAGAGAGACAUGGCUCUAGAUUCUGUUAACAAAUACAGGAUAAUGUAAUAAUUUUAUUUACUAAACAAAAUACCUUAAAAUUAUUAAUUCCAUUAUUAAAAUUUUUCAUAAAGAGCUUGCAAAUCAAAGACAUCAUGCACCCAAAUUGACCAGGCCUAAAGUCUAUACAACUCUUGAUCUUCUGUAAGGUUUGUAUAGCUGUUCUGAAGCUGUGGAGCCUCAAACUGGAUUAUACACAUUUUACUAUUGAAUAUAUUUUAUGUAUUUAUUAUCUAUAAUUUGGAUAAGUCCCAGUAAAUAUUUAAUGCCAUAUUUCUAAAACAUCAUAGAAAAUUUAAAGACAAAACAUUAAGGAAGAGGCACAUUGAAAUAGAAAAUUUUCAUGACUAUUAGCAUGUAAAUAGUACACAAAUUGUUAGAUUUAAUAACUAAUAGAAAAUCCUUUAAAAUUAGAAUUAUAUGUAUAAGAUAAUAAAGCCACAUUUAAGCCUAUUUUGUAACUCAAUUAAAAAUAUAAUUUAAAAGAGUCAGGUGACUAAGGAGAAGACUUAGGUAGGGGUAAAGAGUAUUUGCUACUCUUUCAGAGGAUAUGAGUUCCAGUUUCUAACACCCAUAUCUGGUAGUUCAUAGUUACUUGUAAUGCCAAAUCCAAGGGUUGUGAUACUCUUUUCCAGCCACUGUGCACAACUUCUCAUAUAGACAUCCAUACAAACACAUAAAUAAAAAUUACAUAAAUCUACAAAGAGUUAGAAAUACCCUGUAGAGUUGGAUAAUGGUGCUAUUAAAAGCCAUGUAUUAUUAAAAAACUUUCCAGUACUAGAUGUGGGAUACUUACUUAUGAUGUUUUGGUCACAGAGGUCCAGGCCCCUAACCUAAUAACAUAUGUUUUAUAUAUUAAAGACAAAACAUUAAGGAAGAGGCACAUUGAAUUAGAAUACAUAUGAACAUAUAUUAUACAUACUCUUGACUAUAUAUACAUAUAUAUACAUGUAUACACACACUAUACACACACACACACACACACACACACACACACACACACACACACACAUAUAUAUAUAUAUAUAUAUAUAUAUAUAUAUAUGCUCUUGACAUUCAUCUUGGUUGUCCACCAGAACUAGAAAAUAAAAUUCUUUUGUUGAAGACACUGUAUAUGUUGGUUGUAAAACAGAGAAAUCAAACUGGAACUGAGCUAGGAGUAUCCUCCCUGCUGCCUAGCUCUCUUAAUCUUGGAGGGAGCCAUGCAAGUUGCUGAGGGAAAAAAGGCAUCCAUGUUCUUAACUAUCUGUGCAUCUUAUGAACUACAAUAUCAACCAGCCAGGCAAUAUGAGCCUAUUUGGGCAAUAAUGCUAUGGCUGUUAUGGUAGUGACCAACUGCUCUUUGAUUCGAUUUUUAGACUGGCUGCAUAGGAGGGAAUCCAUGUCUUUUACUCUAAACCCAUUCAAAAACACAUGACUGGGGAGGUCAUAGGCCUUAGGGUAGAACUUACUACUGUCAUUCAGCAACACUGACAUAGUCUCAAACUGCCUUUUAAACAUCUAGGUUUAUAUCCACAGACAUAUGCUGUUCUAAGUGUCCAUUAAUUCACUAGAAAAUCCUCUCUUGGUAGUGAAUCCUGGUGAAUGGAGAGAAUUAUGGCUACUUUGGUGCUGGAAAAAAGUGACAACUGAAUGCUGGGUCCUAACAAGACAUUUACACCAUCCCUUUUAAUGUUCAAAAGAAAAAAGGAAAAAACACAGAGGAAGUAGUGAAGUGGGAAGAAUGUAAUAGCAAGAAGAUGGAGAGACCAGAUAUGAAAUAUUAUCUACUUUACAGAACGUAGCUGGUGCAAGCAUGAACUCACAGUGUCUAAGUUCUGGAAAGGUUUCAGAUGACACCACACCCCUCUUAGAAUGUGACAGAAGCACAGUGUACAAGAGAACACUUUGCAUGUCCCAGCUGGAAAGUAUCAACUAACAGCUCAGAGCAAUGCAAUUAUUACUGAAUGUACUUGAGACCACCCCAGGGGGUUCCCUGUAUCAUAUGAGAUGAAUUUCAGCAAUCUGCAUUAUGUAGUGUUGUUGCACACUCAUAGUCCUUGUGAACACAUCACCAAAAACUUCUGAAGUAACUGCUCCUUCUUUCAAUGUGAGUGUUUACUGUUUAAUCUGUUCAGCAGCAUGCACAUCAUUAUAUUCUCAAAAUAUUCAUAGUAUUUGUUCUGUCAAGAGGGCUCACUACUUCAAGAAACUUGAAAAAACUGACAAUGACUUAUAAAUCAUUAACAUUUUAUACUGAGUAACAGUGUUUUUUCUACCAUUAUAAUUGGCAUUUAAAAAGUUAACUAGUAUUUUACAUUAUGUUUAACCAUCUGAAACAUUUAUGGUGAAAAAUAAAUGAAAAAAAAAAUAUAGAUUAAUCAUUAAUAGAAAUAGUCACAUUAUAAAUUCUACUUUAAAGCAAUUUUAUUUUAAAUAAAAUGUUGCAAUGAAUUAAAGUUCACAUAUGAAAAAUUUAUGCCUUAAAUUUCAAUUAAGAGAGACUGUGCAAACUAUAAUUUAUAAUUUCAAACAUAUUUCAUAGAGAGAAAGUAAUUAUAAGGAACCAUGAUAACAAAAACUGUCCAUCACUAGAGAGCACUGAUUAAAUUACUUUUUUUCGUUUUAUUGAAAAUAGAUUUGUAGCUAGAGUUUUCCUGCCUGGCCCACAGUCAGGAUAAAUCUCUCUCACCUGCCAGUCCUUACAGCUUAAUUUAAUCCAUUUCCAUUAAUCUAUACCUUGCCACAUGGCUCGUGGCUUACCAGCAUCUUCACAUGCUGUUUCUCAUCGUGGCGGCUGGCAGUGUCUCUCUGACUCAGCCUUCCACUUCCCAGCCUUAUUCUCCUCCUUGUACUGCCUAUACUUCCUGCCUAGCCAAUGGCCAAUCAGUGUUUUAUUUAUUGACUAAUCAGCAACACAUUUGCCAUACAGAACAUCCCACAGCAUAGAUUAGAAACAUACAAUUUGAAGUAUAGGCAACUUCAGUUGCCUAUACUUCCUGCCUAGCCAAUGGCCAAUCAGUGUUUUAUUUAUUGACUAAUCAGCAACACAUUUGCCAUACAGAACAUCCCACAGCAUAGAAAAGAAUCAUAGAUUCUUUUCUCAUCUAAUGUAUCCUGAUUAACUUUUACCCUCCCUCUAUUCCUCCCAGUUCCUCUCCACCUCUUCUACACUCUGGAGCCACUUCCUUUCUGUCUCUCAUUAGAAAAAUAGAGGCUUCUAAGAGGUAACAACCAAACAUGGCAAAAUAAUAUACAAUAAGAUGAUGCAAAAAUAUAUCAAAGUUGGACACAGAAACCCAACAGGAAGAAAAGAGUCCUAAGAGCAGACACAAGAGUCAGAGACCCACUUGUUCUCACAGUCAUGAGUCUCAUUGAAAUACAAAGCUAAUAGCUAUCAUAUAUACACAGAGGACCUGGUGCAGAUCCAUGUAGGGCCUGUGCUUGCUGCUUUAGAUUCUGUGAGCUUAUAUGUGCCUUGUUUGGUUGAUUCAGAGCACCUUGUUCUCCUGGUAUCCUCCCAUCCACUCUGACUCUCACAAUCUUUCCUUCUCCUCUUCCAAGGGAUUCGCUGAUCUCUGACAAGAAGGAUUUGAUAGAGACAACCCACAUAGACUUUCUGUGGGUAAUGUCUGGCUGUCAAAUAUACUGGAUGGAGGAAAAGUUAUGAGCCAUGCAGCAGAAUGUAGAUUAAUAUAAAUUGAUUACUUUAAAUUAUAAGAGCAAGGGAACAAGCCUAAGCUAAGGCCAAGCAUUCUUAAUUAAUAACAAGUCUCUGUGUCAUUAUUGGGGAACAUGAAGUCCAAAGAAAAACUUGCUACAUCUCUGAAGUGGUAGUAAAAGUAUGGGUCUGUAUAGUAGGACAGACCCAUAGGGUUGAGGAAAUUGGUUCAAACCAGUUGCCAUGGCAUGCACAUAACUUACUUCUUUUGAGCCAACCUGGAGUCUGCCUGAGGGCCCAACAACAGGCACUGUUAGAGUUCCUGAUUAUGCCCAGACAAUGAGUGACAACCAUUCAAUGCCACCAAAUUGGGACACAGCUUGGGUGCUGAGAGGAGAGUAUAUAAGGCCUUCCCCAUUAUUGAAUAAAGGAGUCUGCUGUUUGCCUUCAACUAACUCCCGGUAUCUAUGUUGUUGACAUAACGCCUUCUCACCCCCUCCCCCAAGGGAGCUAUUAGGAUCCAGCAACAGAUCUGUCUUCAGCCUACUUGCUUCCCUGGAAAGAGUAGACUAUAGAUUAGCAGGGGAUGCCUGCUGGGGUGAGGGUCUGGGGCAAAGCAAAGAGUGAGGUGAGGGAGGUUAGAAGUGGAAGAUCUAUUUGAUUCACAGGAGAUAGGAGCUGGAGGCCAGAAAGACUGUCUGAUGUGUUCUGCUGCAAAGCUGGGUAUGAGACUGAGAGACAGGCUCUGGGUGAACAGGGAGAGAAGAGGUCUGUUGGAAGGCUACCUUGUUUGCUGGCAGGCAAGGCCUGUGGGUUAGAAGAGGGUGCCUGCUGUAGUUUGGGGCUGGGGUAAAGAGACCAUGUGUGGUGAGGAAGGUUAGGCUGGGAUGCUCUGUAGGAUCCACAGCAAAUGUGUACAUGAGGGAAAGAAAGUGUCAGCUGGUAUUCUGUUGCAACUAUAGGGAUGAGACUAGGGUAUUGGAUUUGGAGGGAAGGAGGGAAUGUUGAAGGUCUUCAGUUACCUUACCUGUUUACCUGUUCUGCUUAGCUGGUAUGUUCCCAGUGAAUGCUUAAAAUAUUACAAGUAAAUUUGCUAUACUCUCAAUUGACUUAUAUAUUAUUAUGGAUGCAUUUUGAGAUAAAAAUGCAUUUUAAUUGCUAAAGAUGGUUUUGUAGUCUUCUGUCAGUGACUUGUUAUGCCAGAACAUUUCCUGUGGCAAUAAAGAUUUGUUGU